AACGUAGGACACAAGCGUUAUCCGGAGUUACUGGGCGUAAAGGGCGUGUAGGCGGAGAUGUAAGUCUAUUCUGAAAGCUCCUGGCUAAACUGGGAGAGGCGAAUGGAGACUGCAUAUCUAGAGUGAGGAAGAGGAAAGUGGAAUUCCGCGUGUAGUGGUGAAAUGCGUAGAGAUGCGGAGGAACACCAGUGGCGAAAGCGGCGACCUGGACAAGUACUGACACUCAACUACGAAAGCGUGGGGAGCAAACAGG
rnacentral:rRNA from 1 species